rnacentral:rRNA from 1 species
ACUUCGGUGGAUUUGAUCUAUUUCUAGUGGCGGACGGGUGAGUAACGCGUGGGUAACCUGCCUUAUACAGGGGGAUAACAGUCAGAAAUGGCUGCUAAUACCGCAUAAGCGCACAGAGCUGCAUGGCUCGGUGUGAAAAACUCCGGUGGUAUGGGAUGGGCCCGCGUCUGAUUAGCCAGUUGGCAGGGUAACGGCCUACCAAGGCGACGAUCAGUAGCCGGUCUGAGAGGAUGAACGGCCACAUUGGAACUGAGACACGGUCCAAACUCC